rnacentral:piRNA from 1 species
GCGCACACAAAACUGUCACUCCAGGA